rnacentral:rRNA from 1 species
AUUGAACGCUGGCGGCAGGCCUAACACAUGCAAGUCGAGCGGGGUUUUCGGACCUAGCGGCGGACGGGUGAGUAAUGCGUAGGAAACUGCCCGAUAGAGGGGGAUACCAGUUGGAAACGACUGUUAAUACCGCAUAAUGUCUACGGACCAAAGUGUGGGACCUUCGGGCCACAUGCUAUCGGGUGCGCCUACGUGGGAUU